rnacentral:tRNA from 2 species
GGAGGGGUGGCUGAGUGGUUGAAAGCACCGGUCUUGAAAACCGGCAACGGGGCAACUCGUUCGGGGGUUCGAAUCCCUCCCCCUCCGCCA